rnacentral:rRNA from 1 species
UACGUAGGGGGCAAGCGUUGUCCGGAUUUAUUGGGCGUAAAGAGCUCGUAGGCGGUUCGGCAAGUCAUGUGUGAAAUCUCCACGCUCAACGUGGAGGGGCCACCUGAUACUGCCGUGACUCGAGUCCGGUAGGGGAGUGUGGAAUUCCCGGUGUAGCGGUGAAAUGCGCAGAUAUCAGGAGGAACACCGAUGGCGAAGGCAGGUCUCUGGCCAUUACUGACACUGAGAAGCGAAAGCAUGGGGAGCGAACAGG